UGGCAAUGAUUGACUAUCUUAGGACACCUUUGGAAUCAAACAUGAAACCAACCUUAAUUCUGAGCCAC
rnacentral:snoRNA from 1 species